CCCCCCCCCCCCCCCCCCCCCCCCCCCCCCCCCCCCCCCCCCCCCCCCCCCCCCCCCCCCCCCCCCCCCCCCCCCCCCCCCCCCCCCCCCGGGGGGGGGGGGAGGUGGCACCGUCCCUGUCCCUGUCCCCAGGGCUCCCAGUGGCUCCCAGUAAGUCCCAGUUCCCAGGAGUGGCCCCGCAGCCCAAAGGGACAGGAGGGGACAGCAGGACACCGCCCCAAAGUCCCCGUGUCCCCUCCAGGGUCCUUGGCACAGCAGGGAGCAGCGGUGGCACCUCCUGGUGUCACCUCAGGUGUUACUGCCUGGUGGCAGCUCCUGGUGGCACCUCCAAGGUUCUUCAGUGUCACAUCCCAGGUGUCCCCAGGGUCGUGUUCUUGGUGUCCUCAAUGUCCUCGAUGUCACAUCUCCAGUGUCCCCAGUUCUCCAGUCCCAGUGUUCCCAAUGUCACACCCCUGGUGUCCCCGGUGUCCUGUUCCCAGUGUUCCCAAUGUCACAUCCGCAGUGUCACACCCCUGGUGUCCCCGGUGUCCUGUUCUCAGUGUCCCCAAUGUCACACCCCUGGUGUCCCCGGUGUCCCGUUCUCAGUGUCCCCAAUGUCACACCCCUGGUGUCCCCGGUGUCCCGUUCUCAGUCUUCUUGGUGUCCCAUUCCUGGUGUCCUUGGUGUCCCAUCCCAGUGUCCCCAAUGUCCCAUCCCAGUGUCCCCAGUGUCCCCGGUGUCCCCAGUGUCACAAGGUGAAGAUCUCGUCCUCGCUGUCCCCGGUGUCCCCAGUGUCCCCGGUGUCCCCAGUGUCCCCAGUGUCACAAGGUGGCGAUCUCCUCCUCGCUGUCCCCGGUGUCCCCAGUGUCACAAGGUGAAGAUCUCGUCCUCGCUGUCCCCAGUGUCCCCAGUGUCCCCAGUGUCACAAGGUGAAGAUCUCGCCCUCGCUGUCCCCAGUGUCCCCAGUGUCCCCAGUGUCCCCCCCCCCCCCCCCCCCCCCCCCCCCCCCCCCCCCCCCCCCCCCCCCCCCCCCCCCCCCCCCCCCCCCCCCCCCCCCCCCCCCCCCCCCCCCCCCCCC
rnacentral:lncRNA from 1 species